rnacentral:rRNA from 1 species
CUUGCUGGAUGCUGACGAGCGGCGGACGGGUGAGUAAUGCAUAGGAAUCUGCCCGAUAGUGGGGGAUAACCUGGGGAAACCCAGGCUAAUACCGCAUACGUCCUACGGGAGAAAGGGGGCUCCGGCUCCCGCUAUGGGAUGAGCCUAUGUCGGAUUAGCUAGUUGGUGAGGUAACGGCUCACCAAGGCCACGAUCCGUAGCUGGUCUGAGAGGAUGAUCAGCCACAUCGGGACUGAGACACGGCCCGAACUCCUACGGGAGGCAGCAGUGGGGAAUAUUGGACAAUGGGGGAAACCCUGAUCCAGCCAUGCCGCGUGUGUGAAGAAGGCCCUCGGGUUGUAAAGCACUUUCAGCGAGGAAGAACGCCUAGCGGUUAAUACCCGCUAGGAAAGACAUCACUCGCAGAAGAAGCACCGGCUAACUCCGUGCCAGCAGCCGCGGUAAUACGGAGGGUGCAAGCGUUAAUCGGAAUUACUGGGCGUAAAGCGCGCGUAGGUGGCUUGAUAAGCCGGUUGUGAAAGCCCCGGGCUCAACCUGGGAACGGCAUCCGGAACUGUCAAGCUAGAGUGCAGGAGAGGAAGGUAGAAUUCCCGGUGUAGCGGUGAAAUGCGUAGAGAUCGGGAGGAAUACCAGUGGCGAAGGCGGCCUUCUGGACUGACACUGACACUGAGGUGCGAAAGCGUGGGUAGCAAACAGGAUUAGAUACCCUGGUAGUCCACGCCGUAAACGAUGUCGACCAGCCGUUGGGUGCCUAGCGCACUUUGUGGCGAAGUUAACGCGAUAAGUCGACCGCCUGGGGAGUACGGCCGCAAGGUUAAAACUCAAAUGAAUUGACGGGGGCCCGCACAAGCGGUGGAGCAUGUGGUUUAAUUCGAUGCAACGCGAAGAACCUUACCUACUCUUGACAUCCUGCGAAUUUGGUAGAGAUACCUUAGUGCCUUCGGGAACGCAGAGACAGGUGCUGCAUGGCUGUCGUCAGCUCGUGUUGUGAAAUGUUGGGUUAAGUCCCGUAACGAGCGCAACCCUUGUCCUUAUUUGCCAGCGCGUAAUGGCGGGAACUCUAAGGAGACUGCCGGUGACAAACCGGAGGAAGGUGGGGACGACGUCAAGUCAUCAUGGCCCUUACGAGUAGGGC